rnacentral:ncRNA from 1 species
GUAAAUACGUUGAUGAGGACAGUAAGCUAAAAUCUUAUUUUUCAGAGAGAGAAUAUGCUGGUGUGAGUAUUCUUAGAUAAAUUUAGACUGAAAACCACCUCUGAGUGACUCUAAUAAAGUCCGUUAUUAUCACGUUACGAUAAUUUUAAGUGACCUAUUUUAUUAGGUUAUUUGGAAUAGUUUUUAUGCUUUUACAUAUAAGCUAUUUUAAUUAAUCUUUCUUUAGGUAAUUAGAGUGGAACCACGGAUAUCACUUCGUCUCUAUA